UUUAAGUGCAGUUAUGGGUUUCUAUGUCCAACGUUUGAUCAUCCGUCUUGUUUAAUUUUUCUUAUGAUUAGUAUUUUUAUUGUUAUUAAAUGAUAAAACAUGAAUAUCACUUUAUGCAUGACUUAUUAUUUUUAUUUUUUCAUAAAAUUUUCAAGUAAGACAGAACAGAUACACUUAAAAUGGGACGGAGGGAGCACUAUUG
rfam:Oryza rufipogon genomic scaffold, chr07